rnacentral:rRNA from 1 species
UGGGGAAUUUUGGACAAUGGGCGAAAGCCUGAUCCAGCAAUGCCGCGUGUGUGAAGAGGGCCUUCGGGUUGUAAAGCACUUUUGUCCGGAAAGAAAUCCUUGGCUCUAAUACAGUCGGGGGAUGACGGUACCGGAAGAAUAAGCACCGGCUAACUACGUGCCAGCAGCCGCGGUAAUACGUAGGGUGCAAGCGUUAAUCGGAAUUACUGGGCGUAAAGCGUGCGCAGGCGGUUUGCUAAGACCGAUGUGAAAUCCCCGGGCUCAACCUGGGAACUGCAUUGGUGACUGGCAGGCUAGAGUAUGGCAGAGGGGGGUAGAAUUCCACGUGUAGCAGUGAAAUGCGUAGAGAUGUGGAGGAAUACCGAUGGCAAAGGCAGCCCCCUGGGCCAAUACUGACGCUCAUGCACGAAAGCGUGGGGAGCAAACAGGAUUAGAUACCCUGGUAGUCCACGCCCUAAACGAUGUCAACUAGUUGUUGGGGAUUCAUUUCCUUAGUAACGUAGCUAACGCGUGAAGUUGACCGCCUGGGGAGUACGGUCGCAAGAUUAAAACUCAAAUGAAUUGACGGGGUCAUAGCUGUUUCCU